UCUGCCUCCUGUUCUGUUGUGUGCACUGGAAUAUUGAUUUUUCAGUGUGUGCGCGCCGGCUCUGUAAAAAUCAAUAUUUCAGUAGCUCGAGCACAGCCCAGGGCAGUGUAACGGAGCCGGCCUGCUGAUGUAACGUGCGGGGUCCACCCUUGGCGAUUGAGGUUCAAGAGAGUAGGAUGUGAACAUCUUUGCAGCUGUUAUUCUAGCUACCAUGUUGGGUAAAAAUCAAGAAGUCAGCAGGGUUGUGUUCCUUUCUGAAGACUCUACAGGACACUGUCUUCUCACCUUUUCCAGCUUUCCAGCUUCUGCAGGCCGCCUGCAUUCCUUGGCUCAUGCUCCCUUCCUUCAACUUCAAAGCCAGCAGUGCUGCAACUAGACUCCAGUUUGCUGGCUCAUGUAAGCUUCCCUGCACGGACAUCUACAAUGCAAAAACAAAAAGCCUGAGCAACGAGUCCUUCCAAUGAUGUUUAGAAUGACAUGGAAAUUGCCAUGAGAUGGAGAAUAAUCAGUCCUCAGAAGAAAAUAGAAGAACAGCUCUUACAGCUGAGUGGAAGGAUGGCGUAUAUAACGUUUGCUUCACUUCUCAUUAUCUCUUCGAGUGACGCCAUCUAACAGUGCAAUUCAGUAUUACCAAGGAGGCGGCGUUUCACAGAACGACUCCUAGCAGAUAGAAGGCUCCACAAGCCAGAUUUGCUGCUAAUGACACUAGCAAUUCCGUGACAUGAAGAAGAAGGUCGUCAAGUAUUAUUUCCAAAAGGGAUACGUACUUUUGAAGAAAUAAUAUUGCCUUUUCUCUGA